UACGUAGGGGGCAAGCGUUGUCCGGAAUUAUUGGGCGUAAAGCGCGCGCAGGCGGUCAUUUAAGUCUGGUGUUUAAUCCCGGGGCUCAACCCCGGAUCGCACUGGAAACUGGGUGACUUGAGUGCAGAAGAGGAGAGUGGAAUUCCACGUGUAGCGGUGAAAUGCGUAGAUAUGUGGAGGAACACCAGUGGCGAAGGCGACUCUCUGGGCUGUAACUGACGCUGAGGCGCGAAAGCGUGGGGAGCAAACGGG
rnacentral:rRNA from 1 species